rnacentral:rRNA from 1 species
UACGUAGGGGUGCGAGCGUUGUCCGGAAUUAUUGGGCGUAAAGGGCUCGUAGGCGGUUUGUCGCGUCGGGAGUGAAAUCCACUGGCUUAACUGGUGGCUUGCUUUCGAUACGGGCAGACUGGAGGUAUGCAGGGGAGAACGGAAUUCCUGGUGUAGCGGUGAAAUGCGCAGAUAUCAGGAAGAACACCCGUGGCGAAGGCGGCUCUCUGGGACGGUACUGACGCUGAGACGCGAAAGCGUGGGGAGCAAACAGG